UGGGGAAUAUUGCACAAUGGAGGGAACUCUGAUGCAGCGACGCCGCGUGAACGAAGAAGGCUUUCGAGUCGUAAAGUUCUUUUAUAUGGGAAGAUAAUGACGGUACCAUAAGAAGAAGCCCCGGCUAACUACGUGCCAGCAGCCGCGGUAAUACGUAGGGGGCUAGCGUUGUCCGGAAUCACUGGGCGUAAAGGGUUCGCAGGCGGAAAUGCAAGUCAGGUGUAAAAGGCAGUAGCUUAACUACUGUAAGCAUUUGAAACUGCAUAUCUUGAGAAGAGUAGAGGUAAGUGGAAUUUUUAGUGUAGCGGUGAAAUGCGUAGAUAUUAAAAAGAAUACCGGUGGCGAAGGCGACUUACUGAGCUCAUUCUGACGCUGAGGAACGAAAGCGUGGGUAGCAAACAGG
rnacentral:rRNA from 1 species